CCAUUAUAUGCAAGACGGGCACGAGAGGUGCUGUUGCUGCUGUGAAGAGCCUAUAUGUGACCAGUACAUAUCCUGUUCCACGCAGAUUAAACGCAUCAUUCCACAUCUUCCGUCU